GAUGAACGCUAGCGGCAGGCUUAACACAUGCAAGUCGAGGGGUAAGUCAUUUCGGUGACUGAGACCGGCGCACGGGUGCGUAACGCGUAUGUAAUCUACCUUUUACAGGGGGAUAGCCCAGAGAAAUUUGGAUUAAUACCCCAUAGUAUUAUUGAAUGGCAUCAUUUAAUAAUUAAAGUUCCAACGGUAAAGAUGAGCAUGCGUCCCAUUAGCUAGAUGGUAAGGUAACGGCUUACCAUGGCGACGAUGGGUAGGGGUCCUGAGAGGGAGAUCCCCCACACUGGUACUGAGACACGGACCAGACUCCUACGGGAGGCAGCAGUGAGGAAUAUUGGUCAAUGGGCGCAAGCCUGAACCAGCCAUGCCGCGUGCAGGAUGACGGUCCUAUGGAUUGUAAACUGCUUUUGUACGGGAAGAAACACUCCUACGUGUAGGAACUUGACGGUACCGUAAGAAUAAGGAUCGGCUAACUCCGUGCCAGCCGCCGCAGUAAUAC
rnacentral:rRNA from 1 species